rnacentral:rRNA from 1 species
UACGAAGGGGGCUAGCGUUGCUCGGAAUUACUGGGCGUAAAGCGCACGUAGGCGGGUUGUUAAGUUUGGGGUGACAUCCUGGAGCUCAACUCCAGAACUGCCUCCAAAACUGGCGAUCUUGAGUUCGGGAGAGGUGAGUGGAACUGCGAGUGUAGAGGUGAAAGUCGUAGAUAUGCGGAAGAACACCAGUGGCGAAGGCGGCUCACGGGCCCGAUACUGACGCUGAGGUGCGAAAGCGUGGGGAGCAAACAGG